rnacentral:rRNA from 1 species
GAUGAACGCUAGCGGGAGGCCUAACACAUGCAAGCCGAGCGGUAGAGUCUCUUCGGGGACUUGAGAGCGGCGUACGGGUGCGUAACACGUGUGCAACCUGCCUCUAUCUGGGGGAUAGCCUUCCGAAAGGAAGAUUAAUACCCCAUAAUAUAAUGAUUGGCAUCAAUUAUUAUUGAAAACUCCGGUGGAUAGAGAUGGGCACGCGCAAGAUUAGAUAGUUGGUGGGGUAACGGCCCACCAAGUCGAUGAUCUUUAGGGGUCCUGAGAGGGAGAUCCCCCACACUGGUACUGAGACACGGACCAGACUCCUACGGGAGGCAGCAGUGAGGAAUAUUGGACAAUGGGUGGAAGCCUGAUCCAGCCAUCCCGCGUGAAGGACGACGGCCCUAUGGGUUGUAAAACUUCUUUUGUACAGGGAUAAACCUCCCCUCGUGAGGGGAGCUGAAGGUACUGUACGAAUAAGCACCGGCUAACUCCGUG